GUCUCUUCCAUGGUGUUUACUCUCAGUGCCU
rnacentral:piRNA from 1 species